UGCCUGCAGCCGCGGUAAUACGGAAGGUGCAAGCGUUGUUCGGAAUUAUUGGGCGUAAAGCGCGUGUAGGCGGUUCGAUAGGUCCGAUGUGAAAACUCGAGGCUCAACUUCGAGAGGUCAUCGGAAACCAUCGGACUAGAGUCCGGAAGAGGAGAGUGGAAUUCCUGGUGUAGCGGUGAAAUGCGCAGAUAUCAGGAAGAACACCGAUGGCGAAGGCAGCUCUCUGGGACGGUACUGACGCUAAGACGCGAAAGCGUGGGGAGCGAACAGGAUUAGAUA
rnacentral:rRNA from 1 species